rnacentral:lncRNA from 12 species
GGAUUUAGGAUUAUAUCCUUAGAUUUUUUUAUUAUCCAAUACUCCAAGUUUAUUAUAUAUCAUUUUUAAGUUAGAAUUUUAAAAGAUCCAUAACUUUAAAGAUGAUUAUUUUUAAUAUAUAGGAAUGCAUAAAUUGCCAUUUAAAAACAUGUAAAUCAAGAGGCUCAUAAAUCAUAAUUCUUGUCAUCUGGAAUAAGAAAUAUUAAUAGUUAUUUUUCAUUUGUUGAAAGACCUUUGGUUAGGCCCUCUAGGAAACAGGAGGAGGAUAAGGAGAGAUGCAGAUCUACACUAGUAGAGGGAAAAAAAUGGUGGACUUAAAAAAUACAACAUAUAGAAGUGUUUUGCUUUGGCAUGGUAGAUGCUAAAGAGUUGAUAGAUUUACCAUAUCUAUUAAGAAUUUUGUUUAUAUUUUCUGUUAUUUCUAGAAGUUAUUAGGUAAAUUUUUGGAGAAAAUUAUUAUAUGCUCUAUAUUUCUGAACUUGGAUAUUUGCUAUUGUUUUAGCAUGUCUAUUUACUUUGUCUAUGACCUAAAUUAUGUGUUUCUUCCAGCUACAGCUAGUCGAAAAUAUAUAAGAAUAGAUUGCUGACUUGUGCAGAAGAUAUAAAAGGGUUGCAGGUUGAUGACCAUGACCUUCACUCUAUUCUUGAAAACAUGGCAAUCAAACCUACAGUUGAGGAGCUUAAUGAUCUUACUCCCAAUCUACCAGUUGAUGCUAAUGGGAAGUUUGGUGUCAGUAUCUUAACAGAUGGAAUGGAUGGAGUAAAAGCUAUCACAGGAGGAAAGGUUAAUGUGAGUAAUUCGGACAGCGUUCUGGGAGAAAUGAGAAUUAAGCUCCCAGAAAAGGAACAGGAAAAACCAACAGAAAACCUGCUACUUAAUGGUGAGUAUUUGAGAAAUGACUGUACCUUCAAAGGGAGUUUGUGCUUGUGAACCUGCAUCUGAGAAUUUCUAAAACUAG